rnacentral:lncRNA from 1 species
UUUAGACCCAGAAACACAGAAGGAGGAAACAUCAAGGAUUAAUAUAGCCUGAAGUUGUGUGACAAAGUAGAAACAGCUGAAGAUGACAGAGAACAGGAAAACAUGGGGAAAAUAAUGUAUUUGUCACGAAUGGAAAAGUUAAAAGAUUUAUUGCUGGAGAAGAGGAAUAAAAAAGGAGGGGAACUAAGAUUAUCUAUUACACAACAUCGUAUAUUUUUGAAAGGAAAGAAAAACAACAGUGUAAAGAAAACAUGAGUGCAAUAACAUGUACAUUGUGAAUAGCAGGGGAAAAAAAUCAAAUCAGGAUUUAAAAACCUUUUCAAUUAUUGAGAAUCGCUUAAAAAACAAUUAUGAAUCAUCUUUAUUAAUGUGGGGGUUUGUGAUGAGGUUUCUCAGUAUUUUUUAAUUAAACAUAAGAUAGUCAAUUCAAAUAGUUUUAAAUUUUAAUUUUAUUUAAUUCUGUAAAAUGUCUUCAAAAUUUUCAGUUCCAUAUAAUGUCACAUUUAGGGAAAUCAAAGAGAGGU